CCAUGGAUAGCUCAGCUGGUUAGAACAUGGUGCUGACAAUGCCAAGCCUGCGGGUUCAAUCCUUGUAUGGG